CCCCUAGUAACGGCGAGUGAAGCGGGAAGAGCUCAAAUUUGAAAUCUGGUAGCCUUCGGUUGCCCGAGUUGUAAUCUAGAGAAGUGUUUUCCGUGCCGGCCCAUGUACAAGUCCCUUGGAACAGGGCGUCAUAGAGGGUGAGAAUCCCGUCCUUGACAUGGACCCCCGGUGCUUUGUGAUACACUUUCAACGAGUCGAGUUGUUUGGGAAUGCAGCUCAAAAUGGGUGGUGAAUUCCAUCUAAAGCUAAAUAUUGGCGAGAGACCGAUAGCGAACAA
rnacentral:rRNA from 1 species